rnacentral:rRNA from 1 species
UACGUAGGUGGCAAGCGUUGUCCGGAUUUAUUGGGCGUAAAGCGCGCGCAGGCGGUUUCUUAAGUCGGAUGUGAAAGCCCUCGGCUCAACUGAGGAAGUGCACCCGAAACUGGCGAGCUUGAGUACGAAAGAGGAUCGCGGAAUUCCCGGUGUAGAGGUGAAAUUCGUAGAUAUCGGGAGGAACACCGGGUGGCGAAGGCGGCGAUCUGGGUCGAUACUGACGCUGAGGUGCGAAAGCGUGGGGAGCAACAGG